AACGUAGGAGACAAACGUUAUCCGGAGUUACUGGGCGUAAAGGGCGUGUAGGCGGUUUGUUAAGUCUGGCGUGAAAGCUCUCGGCUAAACCGGGAGAGGUCGUUGGAUACUGGCAAACUAGAGGAUGGUAGAGGCGUGUGGAAUUCCCGGUGUAGUGGUGAAAUGCGUAGAUAUCGGGAGGAACACCAGUGGCGAAGGCGACUUCCUGGCCUGUUCUUGACGCUGAGGCGCGAAAGCUAGGGGAGCAAACGGG
rnacentral:rRNA from 1 species